GGGGCCAUAGCUCAGUGGUACAACAUCUGCUUUGCAUGCAGAAGGCCCCAUGUUUGAUCCCCGUUGGCAUCU